rnacentral:rRNA from 1 species
UACGGAGGGGGCUAGCGUUGCUCGGAAUCACUGGGCGUAAAGGGUGCGUAGGCGGGUCUUUUAAGUCAGGGGUGAAAUCCUGGAGCUCAACUCCAGAACUGCCUUUGAUACUGAAGAUCUUGAGUUCGGGAGAGGUGAGUGGAACUGCGAGUGUAGAGGUGAAAAUUCGUAGAUAUUCGCAAGAACACCAGUGGCGAAGGCGGCUCACUGGCCCGAUACUGACGCUGAGGCACGAAAGCGUGGGGAGCAAACAGGG